rnacentral:rRNA from 1 species
UGAGGAACAUGACUUUCGGCGGGGGAUAGCCGGCCCAACGGCCGGGUAAUACCGCGUACGACCUUUUGGGGACAUCCCUAGGUGGUGAAAGCAGCAAUGCGCCGAUGGAGUGCCUCGCGGCCUAUCAGCUAGUUGGUGAGGUAACGGCUCACCAAGGCGACGACGGGUAGCUGGUCUGAGAGGAUGGCCAGCCACAGUUGGGACUGAGACACCGGCCCAGACCUCCGUACGGGAGGNAGCG